CCCCCUUCCCAGCAGCCUAGAACUCCCGCAGCAAUCUGCUGGCCCAAGCGCGUUGUUGGCAGCUGACCAUGGACUGAAGCCUCUGAAACUAGGCUUCGAGUUCCAAGAGGGUAACCAAGGAGGAAAGAAAGGGAGAGGCCGGUGCUUCAGAAGGUACACUCUUCAAAGGAGCAGGAAGAGUCCACCCACAGGAAGGGGGCAGAAAUGUGACACCUUCCCGUGAAGGCACAGGGAGACCCCAAACUGCCAAAGCCCCGCCCUGCUGGGACCGAAGCUUCCCAAACCUCUGAAUGGCUUGUUGGUUCUGUGGGGCUCAGCGGAGCAAGGAGACGGAGUUCCUGGGCCCCAGCGGGGUCCCGGCUGCAGGGAACCUGACGAUCCAGCCUGUGCCCCAGCAGCGAUCCACUGGGACCCCCCGCCCACUCCUCUGGCCUUUGGGCUAUACUGCCACCUGGUUCCACACUACAAAGACACAGAGGACACCAGACCACCAUACUGGAUAAGUUGGAGGGAUCAUCACCUCCCAUCAGAACUGGGACUAUCUUCAGGGGAAGGGCAGCUGCAACCUGAA